GCAUGCAUACCAAACAUCGACUUCUUCCAUGUUACUAGAUUACAUCGGCAUUCCGUGCAUGGUUAUUGUUGCACUUUCCAAGUCUAAAAACUAUGUCACUUUUGAGAUCAAAAUUACUGAUUGUGCAUUUGUUCUUUGUAUAUUGCUAUGUGGCUACACUUCUUCUUGGCCAACCCACAAUUUUUCUCCAUAGUUGUCAUCACCCAUGUUGUUGUUUUUCCUCCCCUUUCUUUUGAUCAUAGCUGUUCUUUUGUCAACUCAUAAUUUCCAUAUUUUUUAAUUCCGAAUUUAAC
rnacentral:lncRNA from 1 species